GGCCCGGUAGCGAAUGAUCUGCGUCUGCAUUCCAUGCUGAAAUAUUUCCAUAUUUCUGCAGGACUCGCUCGUUCGAAUCGAGCCCGGGUCA